AGGCAAUAACAGGUCUGUGAUGCCCUUAGUUAUCCUAGGUCGCACGCGCCAUACAAUGUGGCGCACAACGAGUUUCCUAGGCCGAUAGGAUUGUCUCUUUACUCAAUUGACACUUCAUCACUGCACAUAUUGGUUUCGAUCAUUUAUAUGUGUCGUUUCUUAUCUGUGUGUGGUUCUAUUUGUGAUGUUUUGUGUUGAUGAAAGAGAUACUGGGCAAUCUGAGAGAGCGCUACGUGACUGGGCUAGACUUUUGUAAUUGUUGGUCUUGAACGAGGAAUGCCUAGUAAUCGUAGGUCAUUAUCCUGCGAUGAUUAUGUCCCUGCCCUUUGUACACACCGCCCGUCGCUCCUGCCGUGGCCCGUGCCGGUGAAGAGGGGGAGGCAGCGUCAACGGAGUAAAAUCCGAUUGUACGUGGAACCCCUCUGAACCUUCGCGAGUAGAGGAAGGAGAAGUCGUAACAAGGUUUUCGUAGGUGAACCUGCGAAAGGAUCAUUAU
rnacentral:rRNA from 1 species